AUAUUUUCUGACCACAGUGCUUUGGAACUUGAACUCAAUCACAUGAGGAAAUUUUGAAGGAAUGCAAACACUUGGAGGUUAAAGAGCAUCCUACUAAAGAGGGACUGGGUCAACCAGGCAAUUAAAGAAGAAUUUAAAAAAUUCAUGGAAACAAAUGAGAAUGAAAACACAACUGUUCAAAACCUUUGAGAUACAGCAAAGGCGAUCCUAGGAGAGAGCUCCUCAGCACUCAGCUCCAUCGACCCCCAUCAGUGAAGCUCUUCCUGUCCCUCACGCCCGCCUCUGUGUCCCUGAGCUUUGUACACACUCCAUCACUACACAUGUUCUUCUCCACUGCAGGCAUUUGUGUGUCUGUUUCUUCCACUAAACUCUCUGCUGGGGUGAGAGAGACCAUGACUUAUUCAUGUCCUCAGCACUCAACUGAGAGUCAACUUUGUACUCAUUCAGCCAAAGGAGAUCCUGCCAAAAUAAAAUGGAAAUUGAAGCAAAUGGCCAAGUUUUGACACUCUCGAACCAUCCUUUUAAUGCUGUGAAGUAAGACUUUGAGGUUAAAGCAGCAAACAGUGCCAUUUGGGACCAACUUAAUUAUUUGGCUUCACUUGACUUGAAGAGACCAGGUUUUAUUCCCCUACCUGUCCAGCGUGAAUUACUGUAAGAGUGACCAGUUUCUUCUGUUGCCAGAAGUAAUAAGUUCUCAGAAACAUAGUGGCUCAGAGAGGGGAAUUCAAUGUGAAACUGAAUUCAUUCGAAAGGAUACUUAAAUUUCAUUGCUU